rnacentral:piRNA from 1 species
UGAUGACUCUGGUUAUCUAUCCCCGUAG